GUGCCAGCCGCCGCGGUAAUACGUAGGGUCCGAGCGUUGUCCGGAAUUACUGGGCGUAAAGAGCUCGUAGGUGGUUUGUCGCGUUGUUCGUGAAAACUCACAGCUUAACUGUGGGCGUGCGGGCGAUACGGGCAGACUAGAGUACUGCAGGGGAGACUGGAAUUCCUGGUGUAGCGGUGGAAUGCGCAGAUAUCAGGAGGAACACCGGUGGCGAAGGCGGGUCUCUGGGCAGUWACUGACGCUGAGGAGCGAAAGCGUGGGGAGCGAACAGGAUUAGAUACCCUGGUAGUCCACGCCGUAAACGGUGGGUACUAGGUGUGGGUUUCCUUCCUUGGGAUCCGUGCCGUAGCUAACGCAUUAAGUACCCCGCCUGGGGAGUACGGCCGCAAGGCUAAAACUCAAAGGAAUUGACGG
rnacentral:rRNA from 1 species